CAAAAGCUUACCUUUCUUUCCAUCGGUCUCUCCCGACCUCACUUGGCGUAGCAAUCAGCUCCAUCGAUUCAUCUCCCCCAGCUAGCUUGGCUUUCAUUAGUUUCCUAUUUGAUUCAAUUCGGAGAAAUCCAAUCAAAGAAGCCCCAACAUCCCCAAAUCGAGAUUCUCAAACCCUAAAAUUUCAAUCUUUAUAUCUCUCUCAAUUUUCUAUGUAGCAGUGGCUACACUUCCUUCGGGAGUGGAGGAAUGGGAAGUAAUGGCCAACCUCCAAUCUAAGUACAUGGACGAAGAUGAGGAAGAAGACGAACAAUCAAAAACCACCACCAUUGCCGCCGUCGCAAUCACCGAGCUCGUUGGUUCUUAUACAUUUGUCGACCUAACAGUUUAGCACUUUCUUCCUCCUUUGUUAAUUCAUUCAGCCUCAUUCACUUAGGGUCUUCUAUUUGAGAAAUCGAGAUCAUCUUGGAGAAAAUUUGGAACCUGUGGAUUUAUUCGAUUUCUAGAUCUUAGAAAUUCAAUUCAGUCAAGGCUCUGUGGAAGUCCAAUGAGAACGAAUUGGCUUUGUGUUUAUAUUCUAUCUCUUCGUUUGCUUCUCUGCUAGUUGUGUGUCGUACAUCAUCUAGUGACCUAUUCCAUCUUCACGUGCUCAAACAUAGAAGUCUUAAUAUCAUAUUCUCUUUGGAGCGUGGAGCUGGAAUUGGCCCAGAGCAAUCGGGUACGGGUAAUCAGGUUGGACCGAGAGUGAGUGGGAAUGAGAGGUUGCCUGGUGCUGUUGUGCUUGCUAGGGAGAGGCUACUUUGGAAACCAGACGACGCAGGGCAUUACAUAUAUAUAGGAGUGUUCUACUUGGUGAUGAUCACAGCCUUGCCCAAUCUAGAGGUUCACGAGCUGGAUGAGCUCCCGGAGCAGUGGCAGAGGUUCAAGUUGGCUUGGCUUUGUAAGGAGCUGCCCUAGCAUAAUUCGGGGCUUUGAUUUGGAAUCUCAAUGCCCAGAAGAAGUGGAUAAGGCAAGAGGACGCCAAGAACUCUGACGGUCAGCCAGAUAGUAUUGUGCGCCAGGGCAUUGAAAAUAUGGUUCUCUCCUACAUUGAGAAGCCCAGCAGUAUAAUUUUAGCAAUUUCACCUGCUAAUCAAGAUCUUGUUACAUCAGAUGCAAUUAAAAUCUCUCGUGAAGUGAAUCCAACAAGGAAGAGGACACUCGAAGUAGCCAGUUGAAAUUGUCAAUAUUUCUGCUGCUAAUGUAGCCUCAAUUUGGUUUUAAUGUUGCAAAGAACGUCAAGGGCAGACAAUCUUGAGGAUCAAUAAUAUCUUUUGCCAUACUAGAUGAAUCACUAGUACAUUCAAACAAUUGAUACCUUGGACAAAAGAAGAGGUCAGUACGUACUCUUAUCUUGGUGUGGUAUGUAAGUGAUCAAAUUCAAAAGAUUGUACACCUUGCAACUAAAAGCUUCAGUUCAUUUAUAUGUGAUUCGAGUGGUGAUUAAAGUAUGUUGAUAGAAGCUGCUUGUUUCUAGUUGACAGGUUAGAUGAAAACUCAAUGCUAGCUAUUAGUUGAGUGACUAGCCCAGAUUUCUCUGUUGUAGUGAGGUGGGAUCUGAUAUCAUCACUUGUGCUCAUAGAGGAUCUCAUAUUGAGUGCAGUUCUAAAAUGAAACACUUAAGUAUAUGAAGGAAGUCAGUGCAAUCGACACUUGUUAAUAUAUUUGUAUUCUAUAGUUAGUGACAUAGGGGCUUUCAAGAUAUUAUGCUGAUUACAACAAUGGCCGUACUUGAAAUUAGCUAAUGUAAAAGCUAGCUGCUAGCUAGUUUAGUAUCUUGAAACUGAUGGGAUUGUAGUUUGGUGGGUUACUUGAUGCAAUGAGAAAUUUGCUAA